rnacentral:rRNA from 1 species
UACGGGGGGGGCAAGCGUUGUUCGGAAUUACUGGGCGUAAAGGGCUCGUAGGCGGCCAACUAAGUCCGACGUGAAAUCCCCAGGCUUAACCUGGGAACUGCGUCGGAUACUGGAUGGCUUGAAUUCGGGAGAGGGAUGCAGAAUUCCAGGUGUAGCGGUGAAAUGCGUAGAUAUCUGGAGGAAUACCGGUGGCGAAGGCGGCAUCCUGGACCGACAUUGACGCUGAUGAGCGCAAGCUAGGGGAGCGAACGGG